AACUUAGGUUUGGGUGGCGGACGGGUGAGUAACGCGUAAAGAACUUGCCUCACAGGUAGGGACAACAUUUGGAAACGAAUGCUAAUACCUAAUAUUAUGAUAAUAGGGCAUCCUAUAAUUAUGAAAGCUAUAAGCGCUGUGAGAGAGCUUUGCGUCCCAUUAGCUAGUUGGAGAGGUAACGGCUCACCAAGGCGAUGAUGGGUAGCCGGCCUGAGAGGGUGAUCGGCCACAAGGGGACUGAGACACGGCCCUUACUCCUACGGGAGGCAGCAGUGGGGAAUAUUGGACAAUGGACCAAGAGUCUGAUCCAGCAAUUCUGUGUGCACGAUGAAGUUUUUCGGAAUGUAAAGUGCUUUCAGUUGGGAAGAAAGAAAUGACGGUACCAACAGAAGAAGUGACGGCUAAAUACGUGCCAGCAGCCGCGGUAAUACGUAUGUCACGAGCGUUAUCCGGAUUUAUUGGGCGUAAAGCGCGUCUAGGUGGUUAUAUAAGUCUGAUGUGAAAAUGCAGGGCUCAACUCUGUAUUGCGUUGGAAACUGUAUAACUAGAGUACUGGAGAGGUAAGCGGAACUACAAGUGUAGAGGUGAAUUCGUAGAUAUUUGUAGGAAUGCCGAUGGGGAAGCCAGCUUACUGGACAGAUACUGACGCUG
rnacentral:rRNA from 1 species